UACAGAGGUCUCAAGCGUUGUUCGGAUUCAUUGGGCGUAAAGGGUGUGUAGGUGGCGCGCUAAGUCGGGUGUGAAAUUUCGGAGCUUAACUCCGAAACUGCAUUCGAUACUGGCGUGCUUGAGGACUGGAGAGGAGACUGGAAUUCAUGGUGUAGCAGUGAAAUGCGUAGAGAUCAUGAGGAAGACCAGUGGCGAAGGCGGGUCUCUGGAUAGUUCCUGACACUGAGACACGAAGGCCAGGGGAGCAAACGGG
rnacentral:rRNA from 1 species